rnacentral:rRNA from 1 species
GACGAACGCUGGCGGCGUGCUUAACACAUGCAAGUCGAACGAGACGAUUGAAAGCUUGCUUUCGAAAGUCGAGUGGCAAACGGGUGAGUAACGCGUAGACAACCUGCCUUUGAGAUGGGGACAACAGUUCGAAAGGACUGCUAAUACCGAAUGUUGUAUAUUUUCCACAUGGAAGAUAUAUUAAAGAUGGCCUCUAUUUAUAAGCUAUCGCUCAAAGAUGGGUCUGCGUCUGAUUAGCUAGUUGGAGGGGUAACGGCCUACCAAGGCGACGAUCAGUAGCCGGUCUGAGAGGAUGAACGGCCACAUUGGGACUGAGACACGGCCCAGACUCCUACGGGAGGCAGCAGUGGGGAAUCUUCCACAAUGGACGAAAGUCUGAUGGAGCAACGCCGCGUGAGUGAAGAAGGGUUUCGGCUCGUAAAGCUCUGUUGUCGGGGACGAAUGUGCAGUAUUUGAAUAAAGUAGUGUAAUGACGGUACCUGACGAGGAAGCCACGGCUAACUACGUGCCAGCCGCCGCAGUAA